CCCUGUCCAAGAGCAGAGACAGGGAGACUGGCUUAAAAAUAAAGGCACUGAAGACUCGUCCACAAACAAUUAUUUAUUAAGGAUCUGUAAUAUUCAGGGAUACUUCUCUGUGAGGGGCCUGGACUGAAUACCUAUAUUCAGCUGUUUUUCAUUUUUUAAAAGAUUUUAUUUAUUUGAGAGAGAGGGAAAGAGAGAGAGAAAGAGAAUGAGCAGAGGUCCAAUGCAGGACUCGAUCCCAGGACCCUGGGAUCAUGACCUGAGCCAAAGGCAGACGCUUAACCAACCAAGCCACCUAGGUGCUCGCUCCAUUUUUCAUUUUUAAAAGCCAAUGGAAGCCCAUUUGGGUCAGGUAUUCCACUCCCUUGUAUUGUGGUUGAGGAGAUUGAGAGCCCAAGAAAUGAAGUGACUUUUUCAGGGUGAUAUAAAUAAAUUGGGAUUAAUAUCUAAGCCUUCUAGAUGCUUUGAUGCCCUUGGUUCUGAGGCAUUUUCUUUUUAUUUUUUAUAGAUUUUAUUUAUUUAAUCAUGAGAGACAUAAAGAGAUGCGGAGACACAGGCAGAGGGAGAAGCAGGCUCCCUGCGGGGAGCUGGAUGUGGGACACCAUCCCAGGACCCCUGGAUCACGACCUGAGCAGAAGACAGAUGCUCAACCACUGAGCCACCCAGGUGUCCUGGUUCUGAGGCAUUUUAGCAUGGAUUUUACCACCUCUUUGGUUGUGAAGACUGACUCCACUUCCCUAGAAGUUUGGGGAAUCAUUGGCCUUUCUACCUCACUAUUCACACAACUCCUUGGUGAUGAUCAUGAUGUCUCUGAGGAAGACUCCUUGGUAUUCUUCACUGGGUGACUUCUGCCUCAUAACACACCUGUCUUCAAAUUGCUGCCCAGAUCAGACCUUCAUCAACUCCUCCUUUAAAUAUUAUGAAAUAUGCUAAUAAAUCCGAGCUGCCAGUCUUCA
rnacentral:lncRNA from 1 species